rnacentral:hammerhead_ribozyme from 1 species
ACCCAGUUGACGAGUCCCAAACAGGACGAAACAUAUAUCUUGAAU